rnacentral:lncRNA from 1 species
AUGCCAUCUACAGAGGCUGCUGCUGCUGAUGAUGACAAUGAUGAAGGUGACACUGAAGCUGAUACAGCUGUUGAAGCACCUGCAGCUGAUGACAGCAAAGAUGAUGACGAUGAUGAUGAUGAUGAUGAUGAUGAGGGGAAAAUAGAUAUUGCCACCGAAACACCUGCAAUUGAUGCAGGCAUGGUUGAGGAAGCUGAGAUCAAAGAUGAUUCAGAUGACACAAAAGAUGGCACUGAUAUUGAUGAUGACGAUAAAGAUGAAGCUGAUGAAAUAGUUGAAACGCCUUCAGCUGAUAUCAGCAAAGAUGAUGAUAAUGAUGAAAAACCAGAUAUAAUCAUAGAAACACCUUUAAAGGAUGAUGAUGAUGAUGAUGAUGAUGAUGAUGAUGAUAAUGAUGAUAAUGAUGACGAUAAACUAGCUGAGGAAGUAGCUUCAGCUGCCACUACUACAGUGGUUGAUGACACUGAUCAUAAUAUUACUACCGAUGACGACCAAAAAGAUGAUGAUGACCAAAUCAAAGAAGUGAAAGAUGAUGAUGAUGAUGAUACCGCUGACAUCACCAAGCUGGAUAAGGGUGAGGAGGCUGAUGCUGAUGUUGGUGAAGAACUUCUGUCUCUUGAUACAAGUGACGAUAAAGUUGACCAAGACAUUAAAACUGACACCACUGAAGAAGUAACUGACACCGUAGACACAGAUGUAGAAUCUGUGACGGAUGUAGUCACCACAGAUGGUGAUGAUAGCGACGACGAUGAUGAUGAUGAGGAUGAUGAUGGUGUUGUUAGUGACACCACAGAUCUAAGGACAGACAAGACUGAAGAUGAGGCUGACAAAGACAUAGCAGAGGAGACUGGUGACUCUAACCUUGAACUUGACCUUGACCUAGACAGUGACGCUGAUGCUAAUGAUAAAGACACUGAGGUUGUUGUAGAUGUUGAUGUGACGGUUAAAGAAGCCAUCAAAGCUGAGGCUGAUGAUGAUAAUGGUGGUGAUGAUGAGGAUGAUGAUGACGAUCUAGCUGUUGCUGCUGACAUUUCAGAUCUCGAUGGUGCUGAUGAUAAAGUUGAGGAUCUAAAAAUAGUUGAUGAUGACCAAGAAAAAGAAUCUGAAAUAGUUAUUGACAUCACUGAGGAAAAGGUGGAGAAGGUUGAGGAGAAAAAGGAGGAGGUGGGAGUGGAGAAAACCAAAGAAGAGGAUGAUAAUGGUGAUGAUGAUGAUGAUGAUGACGAUCACAUUACAAUAGCUCUUGCAAGCACUGCUGUAGGAGAAGAAGAUGAGACCAAGGAUUUGGAGGAUGAUGCUGACCAGCCAUCUCUUGAGUCAGAGAUUCAACUACUGAAAGAUGCACUCAAGGAGAAAGAAAGGGAAAGAGACGAAAAAGAGAAAGAGGAGAAAAAGCCUGAGCCAGAGCCCAAAGGUAAGACAUGAAGCCAAAGACAAAAUGUUUGUGGGCGUGUGUGUGCGUGUGUGCGUGUGUGCGUGCGCGUGCGUGUGCGUGCGUGUGCGUGCGUGUGC